AAGCGGGGAUACAAAUAUAAGACGAGAAGACCCCAUGGAGCUUUAAACCCAACGACACCCAUUUUCUUUAUACCCUAGUAUUCAUUUGGCUAUGUUUGAUUGGUUUUAGGUUGGGGUGACCACGGAGCAUAAAAUAACCUCCACGAAGAAGAGACUAAUAAUCUUUAUCAAAGAAGUACACUUCCAAGAAUUAACAAAUUAAUUUCCAAUGAUCCGAUAUUCGAUCAACGAACCAAGUUACCCUGGGGAUAACAGCGCAAUCCACCUCAAGAGCUCCUAUCGACAGGUGGGUUUACGACCUCGAUGUUGGAUCAGGAUAUCCCAGUGGUGUAGCAGCUACUAAAGGUUCGUUUGUUCAACGAUUAAAAUCCU
rnacentral:rRNA from 1 species